CCGGAAUCGCUAGUAAUCGCGGAUCAGAAUGCCGCGGUGAAUACGUUCCCGGGUCUUGUACACACCGCCCGUCACACCAUGGGAGUCGGAAAUGCCCGAAGUCUGUGACCCAACCUUAGGGAGGGAGCAGCCGAAGGCAGGUCGGAUGACUGGGGUGAAGUCGUAACAAGGUACC
rnacentral:rRNA from 1 species